GUAGGGAAUAUUGGGCAAUGGAUGCAAGUCUGACCCAGCCAUCCCGCGUGCCGGAAGAAGGCCCUCAGGGUUGUAAACGGCUUUUGACGGUGAAGAAUCGACAGGAUGCGUCCUGUUUUGACGGUAGCCGUUGAAUAAGCACCGGCUAACUCCGUGCCAGCAGCCGCGGUAAUACGGAGGGUGCGAGCGUUGUCCGGAUUUAUUGGGUUUAAAGGGUGCGUAGGCUGGAAGGUCAGUCAGCGGUGAAAAGCUGUCGCUUAACGAUAGUCUUGCCGCAGAUACUUCCUUUCUUGGAUGAGGAGGAGGCCACUGGAACGGAUGGUGUAGUGGUGAAAUGCAUAGAUAUCAUCCAGAACACCGAUUGCGAAGGCAGGUGGCUGUACCUUAAUCGACGCUGAUGCACGAAAGCAUGGGGAGCAAACAGGAUUAGAAACCCGGGUAGUCC
rnacentral:rRNA from 1 species